ACAGUUUAUACGGCGCUGGCCUGCUGUGGUUUCCUGAAUCUGGCAGAGAAAUGAAGCUGUUCGUUUCUACUUCACCCAAAACUAUGUCUCCAUGAUUCAGUUUUUUGCUGGUGUGCAGAGGCCGAAUUUAAGCAACACUCCUGAGCAGCAAUUCCACAGGUCUGAAUCAGAGUAAUGAGAACUUGAUGUACACUUUCUGACUUGAUGCACCGUUUCUGGCUUGGAGAUGAAGGAGGCCUUGCAGCAAGUGAUGCUGGUGGAAUGUUGGACUGGGGAGCAGCCCCAGCUAUCAGUCAGAAAGGAAACCAGAGACCACAGUCCUAAACCUGUAAAAAUACUGAAUUUUUCUUGAAAUAUAAAUGCUUUGAAAUUAAACAUGGAAUGGAAUCUGACUUCUCCCAGAACCUCCAGAAGAACUCAGCCGGAGGGACCCUCUGAAUCAGAUUUGUGUUAACUCUGAGCAGACCAGCCAUGCGGUACCAGUCUUUUGACCAACAGAAAUGGUGAGCACAAAGAACAGAAGAGGGGGAAGUAGCCCCUGCAAAAAAAAUUAAGUGCUGUUACUGCCAGCUGUCUUGGAUGGUUUGCCCAGUUUUUGAGUGAUUAAAAGAAAAGUUACAAAGUACAAAACUUCACCUGCUUAUUUAUAUGGGACUUUGAUGUUAAAACACAGAACUUGUUUUGGCAUGGAUGAAAUAUACAAGUUUACCUCAUUAAGCCAGAAGCUAUGCUACCAAAAUUAUUAUUUUGAUUAUAAUUAUGUGAUUUUUUGAAAUCACAAAAAGUAUAUUGAAUAAAUAUAUUUAACUUAGACUAAAAAUGUGUAUAUUUGCUCCUGUGUUACUCUAGUAAUGCUCUUUAUUAGGCAUUUCUAAGAAACUAAAAACAAAUCUAAUUAAGACUGGUCUGCUGUUCUUAGCAAAUAUUAAUUAGAACUAUUAAAGCUGUAGGUAAUCAGCAAAUUUUCAACUAUCAAAUUAAAUCCAACCUUAAAAAGAUGAAUGCUUUUGUUUAUUUUAUAUUUUGAGGGUUUCCUGUAUUUUUUUCUCAAUGAUUAAAAUUCUAUUGAUAAGGCAGGUGGAGUAAAAGGGACCUUUGUAUUCCAGACUUCUAGGCUUUAAUUUGCAUUUGUUCUAAAGGGAAAUCCUACACUUACAUGUAGAAUCAGAGUUAAUGGCAUUACUAUUUUACAAUAACAAGUUUAAGAGGGAAGUAGUUAACUAUUAGCUUGAUCUUAAAAAUAUCAAAGGUUUUUCCUGAAGUUUGUCUCACCCAAAAGUUUAUACACAUUAAAAACCAAGAGAUAGCCUUGAAAGCUAUUUUCAUGUUUCAUGAAGUCAAUCAGCACUUCCUAUUGACUGUGUUUCCAAAAUACACCAAAUUUUUGGCACCUCUUUUUCUGCUGCCAUAGGUCUUGUGAGAGAACUGUGGUCUCACAAAAGCUUCCUAAUAUAUAUCUCUCCUUUCACUCUCAUCUUUUCAUCUGCUUUCAAAUUUACUAGCCUUAAAAAAAGAAAUAUUCCCUAGAAUAGUUUGUAUAAGUUUGAAUUUAUCUCUUUAUAAUUUGGUAAGAAAUCCUAUAAAACAUUUAUGUAUUCAGUGUUUGGUUGUUUCCAUUUUUUAAGUUUAUUGAGAUGAAAUUCAUGACAAAGUUUAUGAGGUGUAAUACAUGCACAAUGUUGAACAACUACCAACUCUAUAGAUGAAGACUGUUUCAAGCACUGCCUGAUUAAUCCCUUUACCUAUUAAGUUUCUUCCCAUUUUCCUUCCCCACCUUCCAGCCCAAGCAAUUACCAGUCUGAGUUCUGCAUCUAUGGAUUUAUCUAUCUCAGAUACUUCAUGUAAAUUGAAUCAUAGAAUGUAUGACCUUUUUGUCUGGCUUACUGCACUUAAAAUAACAUUUUGGAGGCUUAUCCAUAUUGUAUCAUGUAUCAUUCUGCAUAUUUUAUUCAGUUACGUUGUAUGUAUAUAUCAUGUUUAUCCAUUGGUCCAGAGAUGCACAUUUGAGCUCU